rnacentral:rRNA from 1 species
CCAACAGGGAUUGCCUCAGUUACGGCGAGUGAAGCGGCAAGAGCUCAGAUUUGAAAUCAGUUGCGUUCGCGCUUCCGAGUUGUAAUCUGGAGAGGAGACUUCGGGGCGAACGCCGGUCCAUGUUCCUUGGGACAGGACGUCAUAGAGGGUGAGGAUCCCGUGAUCGGCUGGCGGCUCAAACCUUGUGAAGCUCCUUCGACGAGUCGAGUUGUUUGGGAAUGCAGCUCAAACUGGGUGGUAAAUUCCAUCAAAAGCUAAAUACCGGCGAGAGACCGAUAGCGCACAAGUAGAGUGAUCGAAAGAUGAAAAGCACUUUGAAAAGAGAGUUAAACAGUACGUGAAAUUGUUGAAAGGGAAGCGCUU